UACGUAGGGGGCAAGCGUUGUCCGGAAUCAUUGGGCGUAAAGCGCGUGUAGGCGGCCCGGUAAGUCCGCUGUGAAAGUCGGGGGCUCAACCCUCGAAUGCCGGUGGAUACUGUCGGGCUAGAGUGCGGAAGAGGCGAGUGGAAUUCCUGGUGUAGCGGUGAAAUGCGCAGAUAUCAGGAGGAACACCAAUUGCGAAGGCAGCUCGCUGGGACGUUACUGACGCUGAGACGCGAGAGCGUGGGGAGCAAACAGG
rnacentral:rRNA from 1 species